AAGACUAUAGACCUGCGGAGUACCUGCGGAAGGAUCAUUACCGAGUUUACAACUCCCAAACCCAAUGUGAACGUUACCAAACUGUUGCCUCGGCGGGAUCUCUGCCCCGGGUGCGUCGCAGCCCCGGACCAAGGCGCCCGCCGGAGGACCAACCAAAACUCUUUUUGUAUACCCCCUCGCGGGUUUUUAUAUCUGAGCCAUCUCGGCGCCUCUCGUAGGCGUUUCGAAAAUGAAUCAAAA
rnacentral:misc_RNA from 1 species